UACGGAGGAUGCGAGCGUUAUCCGGAUUUACUGGGUGUAAAGGGCGUGUAGGCGGGGACGCAAGUCAGAUGUGAAAACCACGGGCUCAACCUGUGGCCUGCAUUUGAAACUGUGUUUCUUGAGUACUGGAGAGGCAGACGGAAUUCCUAGUGUAGCGGUGAAAUGCGUAGAUAUUAGGAGGAACACCAGUGGCGAAGGCGGUCUGCUGGACAGCAACUGACGCUGAGGCGCGAAAGCGUGGGGAGCAAACAGG
rnacentral:rRNA from 1 species